rnacentral:lncRNA from 13 species
GGCCUUUUUUGUGCCUUGAACCCGCAAGUCGCACUGAAUUAAACUGGAUGUCUUUCCAGUCUUUCCUUAAAAGUCAAUCAGCAGUGUGAUAGAUCACUGAUAAAUGAGACAAUUGAUCAAUUGAUUGAUGAACUGCUCCCAGAAAAGUUCUGCUAAAGUCCAUAGAUUCUACCAAAGUAAGACUUCUCUGUGUGUGUGUGUGUGUGUGUCUGGGUGUGUGUGUGUNNNNNNNNNNUUAGGAUGUUGUGUUGUUGUCCUCAGGGUAACCUUAGGAUGUUGUGUUGUUGUCUGUAACCUUAGGAUGUUGUGUUGUUGUCUGGGUAACCUUAGGAUGUUGUGUUGUUGUCUGUAACCUUAGUAUGUUGUGUUGUUGUCUGUAACCAUAGGAUGUUGUGUUGUUGUCCUCAGUGUAACCUUAAUGUGUUGUUAUCCCCCCCCCGAUAUGGAAUGAACUCCAAGAUAGACUUCAAGUAGGUACAUGUCGUCCCCUGCCCUACAGUCCCUUUAAGACAUUAAUAGACCAUUGUAUGUAUAUUUCUGUAUAUUGUAUAUAGAGCUUUCUUUGUAUCCAGGACUCCCUUGUGAAAGAGACUUGGAUCUCUAUGUUGAUGUCAAACUUAAGGUUAAUCAAAUAAAGAAAAGUGUUGACUCACUUGUACAUAUCGGAGCUACUAUAGUCUUCUUUUAAACUUUUGAGACAUCUUGCUUUCAUUGAAACUGAGUUCUAAAUGUCUGCCUCUUCUGUGUUAGCUUGGAAAUGUCAUUCUGAUCGUUUUCUGGACCUCUUCUGUGAUAGCUUGGAAAUGUCAUUCUGAUCGUCUUAAGGACCUCUUCUGUGUUAGCUUGGAAAUGUCAUUCUGAUCGUCUUAAGGACCUCUUCUGUGGUAGCUUGGAAAUGUCAUUCUGAUCGUUUUCUGGACCUCUUCUGUGGUAGCUUGGAAAUGUCAUUCUGAUCGUUUUCUGGAGUACAAUCGGAGGUAACUGCCAAAAUAAUGGAAAUACUUGAGUAAAUGAGAGAUACAAAGUGUGUUGAAAGCAGGUAGGUCAUUCUCAUGAAACUGACAUUUGACACUAAAAUUCAGAAGUGCAAUUUUUUACAAAAUGUCCUCUAGGAUCACUGAGAUCAGGAUCUGA